UAUACUCUUCGUCUAUGGCCAGAAGAAAUGCCUCGAGGUAUUUUCUUCAGUUCCGCAGAUUCAGUAUGGACCACCUCAAAAGCCAGGUCAUGCUAUCGCUAUCAUGCCUGCACUCGGGACUGUCAUGGUACAACUGGAAGUACUUCUGGGUCAAGUGUUAUCUGGAACUUGAAAUUUACCAUCUUUGUGGUUCCUUCCCAAAGGCCGUCGUCUGCUACUGCCUCGCUGCUCCCAACACAAGAAGAGCGUUUCUCAGAUUCUCCGCAAGUGGUAUGAACAGCAGCGCCCCUACAGGCCUUGCACUACGCAGCUCUACUAGCUCGCUCUACCCUCUACCGCCUCUACUGCGCCUGUUGCUCCGUUCCCUGGGUGAGAUACGAAGGGGACAGAGGUACAACUUGAACCCUGAACUACCUGAACUUUCACUGCAGCCGAACGGCCGAACCAUGAUAUCUGACGUCAUCCUUUUCGUAACAUUGAUGUUAAACGCAGGAGCUGUUUUGAACUUUAAUUUGAAGCAAAACAGGGAUGAAAUCUUUGUAGAGAAACCAAGCCUUGGUGACAAGAUACGCGAAUUUUUAAGUACCGUCCAGUAUUUGAGGGCAUUCAUUGGAAUCUGGAACAUAUUUGUUAUGUUCCUCAUGCUCGUGUUUUUUGGAUCAUGAUGGGAGCACCUUCACUAAAAUGACAAUUUAUGUGAUAAUGUAACCUAUAUAAAAUUCACAGUGACAUCCACAAGCAGCGCGGACCUCUAGCGACUACGGGAAAGAGGUUGGCGUGUGAUCAAGAGCAUGGAGGAAGGAAACACAGGAUCGGCCCUCUUUUCAACGGGGAGCAGCGUGCUGACGUGUGCAUGGGACUGAGAUACUCCUAUCUACCACGUGACCGCUUUCUUCUUCUUUUCUUUAGAAAUUGGCGAUAGCCUUUUGCAAUGGAGUUCAGUGGUAUGCUGUACGCCGUUUCCCAGCACUUUUCGGUACAGUAAAGGAUGAUCUGCUGUCAACUGCA